CCAGUAAUUUAGUUAAGAUGAACUGUGGACUGUUUGCUAGCUAACUGGCUCCUCUGCGUGUUACUGUUAGCUGUUAGCUGUUAGCGGUCAGCCAGGUGUGUGUGUGUUUUGUUUUCCACUGUGGCGCGAGCUAGCUUGAUUAGCCGAGCUGCCGCCGCUGUGGGAGAGACUGCCGCCGUCUUCAGGCGCGCGGACGCGGGGAAAGUUUGCGCGGUCUUCGCGGUGGAUUUGCUCGACGCUGAGGACGACCUGCUGUCAGACACGGUGUGACCCCUGCUGUGUGGUUCCCGCUGCUGCGGGCUGAGGUUUCCCUUUCUGUCCACUGUAACUCCUGCGGGUGGGUCAUAUUAUGUCUACACAGCUCAUGUGUGCUCAAAACCUGCAAACAGUCGGCUGCCGGGAGUCUCUGCUGGCGUUUCCCUAAAGGAAGUGCACUGCCCUGCCCAGGCCGCUCUCCUCUGGCUCUCCUCUGGCCACGAGGCCUUGUGUGCUUCCCCCGAAACCCCAGCUGCCUCUCCGCUCUCUGGACUGUGCUGCAGAGAAAAGGCCCUCAGAGCUCCAGGCCUCCAGACGGCUCUCCUGGAGUUUUUAUUGCACAUGGUGAGAGCGAAGGGAUGAAACUACAACAAAAGAAUCUCACUAAAUUGAAAAGAGAAAACUGAAUCCACACACAAGAAGAAACAAGAAGAGAAUUUUUUUUUACAAACUCUGGAAACCUUUUAUGAAUCACUUCAUUAUCUGACAAGAGUUAAGGUCCAGCAAAUAUCACUCUUCUGAAUUUAAAUGAUAAUUUUUCAUUUUGGAGGGAUACGUAUGUUAUAAUUGGUACUGAUUAAGUUGUUGUCAGGUACAGAUGAGGGUCGAUACACACAGCUGGAAAAGCAUGUGGUGUUAUUCACCUCCUGGAACAAUGGAUCAAUUCUGAAAUACAGGACAGGAAAACUGAACAUACACCUGAUGGAACAUAUUGGGACUCUGCAAAUGAGUAAUGUCAUAUUUUAUGGUGAACAAGUUUGUUGUUUGUUUUAGUUGUUUCUUUGUGUCUGUUGUGGCUGUGUGUUUGUAGGUUGGAAGAUGCUGCUGUACUUGAACAAAAACAAUAAAUACACUUUAUAAAAAAUGACAGCAAAAGUCCAUUAAGCCAUAUACAAUUACCUUUAGUCAAAAUGUAAAAUUUACAGUCAAGACGAACCAAGUUGUGUUCAUAAUGAGCUUUUUAUUUAAAAGCACAUGUAUUAGAGCUAAGUACAUUUAGCAGAAAAAACAGCUUUGCUACUAUUUCUUUUGUACAAAAAAACAAGACAAUACAAAAAUACUAAUAUUGAAUUUUAAUACAGUUGUGGAUGUAUUUUUUGAAUGCAUUACAAACAUAACUAUUACAAUCUACAAUAGUUUAGUUGUCUAAAUACAAAAAUCUGUCAAUCGAUGCUUUUUAAGCAGCAUUUUGUAAAGAACACAGGUCUGUAAUCAUAGUGGAUAUAUCUAAACAUGUUAAUUUUAGUGAUCUAUACAUUAUUUAUAUAUUUAUAAAAAAAGAGUGAAAACGGCUUUGUGAAAUGAUAGGACGGACUAUACGAUGAGAAAGAUGUGCAACAUGGCGGAGUGUGUUGUUGGAGGAGGAUGUCUGAGUCGGCUGUAAAUAAAAAGGGCUUCUGUGUCUGUACAACUGUUAGUGAUUAUACAGGACAGGCUAUAAACACAAGGUUAAAGAUGCUUCUCAGCAGAGAAUAAAAAUACUAGAUCCACAGUUUUUAUAACGUUCACCUGCUCUCUGACACACACAGGCACACACACACACACACACACAGGCACACACACACACACACACAGGCACACACACACAGGCGCACGCACACACACACUUACUUGGCACAGCUGACUGUGUGUGUUUCAUUUGACACACGUAGUUUAUCAAGGGGGGGGGGUUGUUUUCACAGGGCACAGCGCUCACACAUAUGUACACACACAUUCACACGCACAAGGUGUACAUGUACAAGCACAAGCGUACCCACACAAGCACAAGAGUGUACAGCACACACACACACACACACACACACACACACAUUGAGAGAUAAACAU